AUGGCUUCUUCCGGUUCCGUGACGAGGCCACCGUGUGCUAACCGCGAGGAUAUGCCGGACAAGUGGACAGACGCCGAGUUGGAUAAGGUGAAGGACAAAGAUAUGAGAACUCCGUCAUGUUGGUGUGGAGAUGUUUGCAAAGUUAAGGUAUCCACCAAUCGCAAGAAAUCAUGGACGAAAGGAAGAAGAUAUUUUGUUUGUCCCAACUAUGCGUACGAUCGUCCUUGUCCAGCUCACGCCUAUGAUGUACCGCCGGUAAGUUGUUCAAGUUCAAACAUGUCGCCAACCUUUGAAUCUAUCUUACUAAUGACACCACAUUUCUUCUUUAUUCGUACCUAG
rnacentral:rRNA from 1 species